rnacentral:snRNA from 1 species
ACGCUUACCUGAAAGGAGAGACACCAUGAUCAGGCAGGUGGUUUUCCAGGGUGAGGUUCAUCACCUGCUCUCUGGGUGUGCUGAACCCUGUGACUUCCCCAAAUGCAGGAAACUUGACAGCAUAAUAUGUGGUAUAAUAUGUGGAGGCUGCAUUUGCACUCACAGU